UGGGCUGUCAGCCCCUCCUUUGCUUGGGAUGAUGGCGAAGAGGUCAGCACAAGAAGCUGCCAUUUGGAGCUACCUGGGAGACCUUAUGUUACUUCUUCAUUGUGCUGCCUUUCUCACAACAGGGCGAGCCUUUGGUGCAGUUAAAGAUGCAUUAAGUGAUGGGUGGAAAUGUGCUUGUCCCCAAAAAGGCAACAGUUCAGUUUUACUGUAGAUGAAAGACAACUGCUCUGUUUAUGUCCUUAAACCCCAAUAAUUUUCGUUGGAGUUGCUGCUGGUCAUUCUUUACUGACUGGAACCCCAGCACAAUGCUAAAGGGAAUGUUAUGUUUAAUCUGGUUCCCAACACUUCAUCUUUCCUUCACCCACGGCAACUGCCUGCACGUUUGUGAGUUUUUCAUUUGAAUGAAAUUUCUCUCUAGCUGUCGGCAAAACAUGGAAAAAAUCAAUAGCUAUUAAGAUAUGUAACUGCGGGAUAUGGGAUCCAACUAGUAGAAGAAGUGAAGGCCCUUUAUUUAUUCACAUUCCCAAGUGCCAGCAUUUGUUACCUGCCUUCACUUCCUGUGUCCUACUCCUUCCCCCAGGUUUUCAGUCAGAUUUUUGUUGCCAAAAGCUGAGCAGAGGGUGUUUUGCCUACUGCGCUCAGUUGCAUUCUGUGCUAGUUCCCUGUGAAAGCACCUCCGGGUACUUUCCCAGGGCUAGCACUUUUUGUUCAAGAACAAGUUAAGAAAAAAGAGUUACUGGUGGUUUUAAAACCCAUUUUCUUUUUAUCUAGUGUUCUGUUAAAGCUUUCCUCCUAAGCAGCUUACGAUAAUAUAAACAACCUGCAGAAAAAACCUGCUGUCAAUCUGCUGCUAUAAAUUCCUGCAGGUCCAGGGGCUUCAGGAGCUGGGUACUGCACCUACAGGCCUUGGAGUCAGAGAUAAGUAUCAGAUAAUUCACUCCUCCAGAAAAUACUGCCUUGUAUUCAAAAUGGAGCGGGGGGAGAAGGGAAGCGGGGGCGCAGCAGCCAGGAGGUGUGCUGAGAGUGCAGCAGGAGCUGGAGACCUGGCGUACAGCUGGGGCGAUGCUCACAGGGCUCCCAAAGCCGCAGCUGGGUAAGUGCUCGCCUCUCCUCACGGCUGUGUGCUUUACUGAGCUCCAUAGCUGCACAUCUCCUUCCUCACUGCAAAACAUACAUUUCCUCAUUUCAGCUUGUGAGGGCCCAGACCAUCAUCUCAGCCCCAGGGGCUGCUCUAGCAGGAGCAGCAGCUGUGCCAGCUGCCCCAGGUCGGUGAGGCAUCCUCCUGGCAUGCAGGUUUGGGUUUCUCCCUUCGGCCAUGGCACUCUGCUGUUUGUAGGCUGACGGUGCUGGAGCAUGGCUGUAGGGGUGUGCAGCAGUGCUGUGCUGCUCCAGCUUUUGGAGGUGCUCGGGAAUACUGAGAAAAAUCUAAUUAAGAAAAGUGAAAUACAGUAGGUUAAGCCAGCUGCAUCAGUGUGUGAAAUGCAGCCAUUAUAAAACAAAACAAAACGUUGUAGAGCAGCAUCUCUGGAGCUCUGCAGCCUUAAAAUGAUGCUGCCAGACUUCCCUGCCAUCAGAGAGCCAACACUUGCGUAAGAGCUGCUAAUACCUUGGAUUGUCACUAACUGGGGCUGUGGCGCUCCUGGGGGCAUGCAGGGCUCUGCCCGUGGGUGCUCCUUGCUCUGAGCAGCUCCUGCUUGAAAACUGGGGGCUGUGGGGGCAAAAUGGGCCUGACCAUGGCAGGUGGUGGAAGAGGAGGAAUGAGGAAGGAGGUGAUAAGAAAGCAUCGGUGCAGUAGAAAGAUGAGGGAAGUGAAAGACAAGCUGGGCAAUGAGGGGGUAAGCAGGAAGGGUGGGUGUGGAGUGAGGCUGAGGGAGCAACCAGCUGACCUUUGCAGGCAGAGAGACUGCUCCAAAUAAUCUGAGAGCAUGUUUGCUUCUGAAGAGCUGGGUUUGGCCAAGCCCCCUGGAAAAGUCUGCAAGAAAGCUGCUCUGCUCGGGUGGCAGAGGGCACUGCACUGCGCACGGGCAUGGGCCGCUGUUGUGCUCUUGGGAUGGCUCAGCGAGUGCACGUGUGUCCAUACAGUGACACUUUCUGCAUUGUGAAAGACAAACAAAAACAGAACAGCAACAGCAGCAAAACAACAACAAAGUUGAUUUAAAAUCUUAUCCUUCUGAGAUCACUGAGCAGAGGUCUUGGACCAGAUGAUCUUCAGAUGUUCCUUCCAACCUCAACUGUUCUGUGAUCAACAGGUAAAGCUUUAAAACAAGGCCAUUGUAUUUGUUCGUGAUGCUACAAUUUAUGAAGUGGUAGGAUUAAUUUUACUAUUUCAGAUAUCCUAAAAUGGGAAAAAUGUAAUUAAGAUUUAAUCUCUUGCUGAAAAAAGCGUCUUUAAAAUCAAUCAGGAAUGGCUGCAAAACCCUUAAAAUAUUUUUAAUGGUAAUUGUAUGCAGUUCCCUCUGUCUAAAGUUUGGAGAAAGGGCAUCUUGGAUGUAUGACAGUAAGUUCAGCGCAAGCGAAGCUGCUUUCAAAUAUACUGGAAAAGAUAUCCACAGUAAUAGGAUUAGUACAAAAAGAACGUGUCUUUGUAUCUAAAAUUCUGAGGCUAAUUUGUCUUGGUUCCACCCCUCCAAAAACUUUUGUAAUAAAUUACUUUCAUCAGGAACACUUAAUGAUGUUUCACUGGUAAAAUGCUCACAAGAAAUUCCCUGCUGGGAAAAUUAUCUGUAAAGGUUAUCACAGUAAGGCUUGGAUGUAAAAUGUCAAAGGACAACUUCAUCUCUCUCCCCUUCCUCGCCCUUCUACCCCAGCUACAGGCAGGAAAUUUGGGGGAGCUUAUGCAAGCCCAUCAGAUGGGCAGGAGUCUGUUCACUUCCAACGUGUCCCCACACUCGGAGUGCCCUGGCAUGCAUUUUAUUCAAGCUAAUGGGUGAUCUGAAAGCUGAACACCAGAAGGCUGCAAAAAUUAAGAAUUCACCAAAACUUUGCUGGAGUUGAGUUUGACAGAAGAGCUCAACGUCUGCCGUCAUCACCUGAGGGACAACCUAAUGUCAAGGCAAGAGGGGCCUGCUGCUGGGAGCCACGGGGGGAGUGUUGGCCCCAGGCCCUGCCACCACGAGACCAACGUGACGGGAGGUGAACACAGUUACAGCUGCUCUCUUACGGACAGCUUACUUGUGCUUUAUACUGUCAUACAGAUUCUCUAAAUGAAAAGAGCAGACUAGGGUGAAAUGUACUUUUUAAAUGACAUUUUGCAAAUUUCAAGAGAGAUCAUUUGAGCCUCUCCUGGAGGUGAAGAUUUGGACAGUGGAAUUUGCAGAGCUGCCACAGAAGUAUUUCAUCAGUGACAAGAGUGAGAGAGGACUGCGACUGAAUCAUGGGUGAUGCCCUGGCAUUAUUCUGUAAUGGAAAACAUGACUUUGCUAGCUACUUGGAAGCAAAUAUUGCAAAUAUUUGGACAUUAUGCCAUUACUUAAUAUUACCCAUUGUAUGUCCUCUUUCUCUCUCUCAUUUAUUUAUUUUAUGUCAUUCUAAAUGUCUAGGCUAACCUGCUAGCAUUUCAUUUUUUUCUUUUUUUUUCUUUUCAUUUUUUCCUUUUUUUUUCCUCUUUUCUACCCUCUUUUCUCUAAGUCCUGAAACAAAGUGGGAUCUUGAUCACUCUAUUCUCCUCACUUAAAGCUCCCACGUCCUUUUGUAUUUGAUGAACAGUGUGAGAACAUCCUGUAAUCAAAGCGAAAACAACUCCAAUCAUAUCACUAUUCCACAGGAGCUCCCAGAGAUGCCUUGAAGAAUUUGCUGCAUUUCUGGGCCUAUAGGGUGUUAUGGAGAACAACAGCUGGUAAUCACAGCUCUUUAAACUAUCUGAAUUACUGAAGGAAAAUCCUUUUCCAUAUCCUUACCAAGGCUGAAUAGAACACAAGGACCCAUUUCAUAACUAACUGAAUCUGAAAAUUUCAAAUCCCUGCUUAAUAAACAAAAAUAACCAUCUUUAUAAAACUGGUAAAUGACCGUGACUGCCUCUCUAAAGAAUUAUUUCCUAAGAAUAAUUUGGUGCAAAAGGAGCAUACCUCUCACCAAACACACCAGUUCCAAAAGCCUAUAGUUUCCCUGCACAAUAUUCUCUAGCUACAAGACCCUUUUCUUUCAGUAAAUGUAUUAUAACCCUUUCAGUCUGUUCUGUUUUACCUACUGUACACCAUGAAUCUGUAACAAGGUUAGGGUGAGUAACUAUUUAAAUCUACUUUCAAAUACAGCUGAAAAGCCUAUUAUAGAUGCAACCUUGAACUUUAAUUGUAUAAAGACAGCUACUUUCUUAGCGUUCACACAAGUGACAGAGUUUCUUGCUUUUAAGUCUGCUUGGACUUCCUGGCUGUAUUGGCAACUGUGUAUUCUGCCUCUAGACUUAGAAAAACAAACAAACAAACAAACAAACGAAAACAAAAACCUAAGUUUUCACACUGUGUAGCAUCAUAACAUCUAUUGAAAUUUGUAUUGAUGAAGGUUAUUAACAUAUUUGAGUUGGAGAAUUUAAUCUGGCUAAUUAUAUGUUUUUCUUCCUGCUAUUUUACUAGGCUACACAAGAGGCUGCUGAAAUCCAGCAUUUGUUUUCAGAUACAUGUUGAUGCUUUUUAAGGAAAUGAUUGUAAAGAACCAGAGAAUUCUUUAAAACAACGUUGGUCACAGCUUUUCCAGCAUCGGCACUAACUGAGUAAAUAAGGGGAAGCUUAAAGGAUCCAUGGAAGGACGCAAGGGUGCUGGCGUGCUGUGGAUCCUGCUGCUGGGCGGGCAGGAGCCCUGGUCCGUGGAUGCCAUGUCUUGAAAGUUUAUUGGGCUCCUCAGGCUUGUCCUUUCUUCAGUAACCUAGGACGCCUCUGCUGUGCUUGCAACAGGAAGCAUGAAUCAGACAGGGGGAAUUACUAUGUUUUCAGUGCAAGAGGCAGCAAUUUGGGGGAAGUUUCUCUAAAGUAUGAAUGAGAACUUGCUGAGAUGCUCGCAGUGCCAGGGGAGCACAUCGGCAGUGAUAAGGUGGAGGAAUGGAAAGCUGUGCUCGUUGCACACUGCGGGAGACCACAGUGUCCUUGCCAGCAGCACCUGCCACGCAGCAGAGGAGCGGCUUCUGCGUCGGAGAGAUGCUGCGUCCCCCAGGUGCAAGGAACACUGUGCAGUUUGCCAGUCAACAGAGCAUCUCAAACGUGUCACUCAGCCACAGGGACUGACCUCACCGGAGCUCUCAGUGAAGAGGGUAGACAAGUAGAGGAGGACACCAGACUGGCAGUGAAUUGCACAGAAGAGAUGUCCUACAGGAAAAGUCAUGAAACAGGAAGAUAGGGGAGCAGCUUAAGGUCUGCAGUCUGUCCUAUUGGGCUAAACCUUGUUGGAUGUUUACCGUUUGUUUCAGGUAAUAGAGCAGAGCUAAUGUGAGCAGUAAAGAUCAUCCACAGGCAAAAUACAGCAUCCAUUAACUCCUUGCACCUGCAAGGACCAAAAAUCUCCUUCAAUCCCACAAGAUUACCUGUUCUGCAGAAGUCAGACAUUGCAUGGAGUCUUAAGAGCUUGAAAAUGUGCAUGAGAAAAGUACUCCCUGCAUUUUGCCCUGCCGUGUUUUCAAGCCCUGUGACAGGUCCUGCAGCCUUGUUUGGCUGCCCCUUGGUAAACUCUGAGCUGAGAAACAUCUAGCAGUGCUGUCAAGAGGAAUCUACAUUUGCUUCAAGGAAAAUAUGUGACUCAUCCCUGUGUCCCUGCUACAGCUGUGUGGAGUGAAGUCACAACCCCCAUGGUUGGGAUGAAGCCAACUUCCAGCAAUACUUCUACAUAUAUUGUAAGUCCAAUACGAAUGUCUACAGACAUUUCACAGACUGAACUCAGAAACGUACUCUGACACCGAGCCACCAUAUUAAAGGUGUUGAAGUACACGUUGUGUAAGCCUGAGGCAAUAUACAGAAUUAAUGAAAGAAACGCUGCAUACUCUGAGCUUUGUGGACCAGAACAUGAAAUAAUAUCUGGAAUUUUUCACACACAAUUUUUCACAACUAUGAAAAUGCUGAUUCCAAGUAUCCUAGUAAAUAACUAAAUAACAGUCCUCUGACCCUGGUGAGACAAUUCCAUACUAAGAGAUUUUCUUGAAAUUCGCAGCUGUUGACUAUUAGAAAUGGUUUGGGGGUAUUGGCUUUGAAACAGAAAUUUUUUUCCCCGCUACAUACUGCUGGUACUGCCCUUGAAAGAUGCACUGUUUGAUGUGAGGUUUUGCACAAAAUGAAUAUUUGAGUUUUGAGCUAUGAAAAAUGGCUUCUUUUUCUGAAGAGUGUGAUACAUACUGAAGCUCCGAGCUCACUGGGUUCUACUGAUUGAUAUCCACAGAUGAGCUAGUCUUCUACCUUAAACCACUCUUCUUCCUGCAAGUAUAAAAUAACAACACGAGCUGUCGGCAGAGUACCAGGUAAAUGUUGCCAUGGGCCCAAGGGCUUUCCCUGUCCCAAGAGCUCUUUUUGGAAGCCAGAAAAUGACUAUCAAAUGAAAGCAUAUUUACUUGAUGCAAACAGCAGUGAGAUGAUGUUUGCAAAUGCCUCCUUCUGUUUCCAAACAGUACAAACAACAAAUUACUGCCUCAGACUGAUUUCCACCAAAUAUAUUUUCACACUUUUCCAUUGUUAGUUGGUUGGCUUUUUUUUAAUUUUUUUUUUUUUUUUUUUGGAGGGGGGGGAGGCUGAGGGCAGGAAGUCAAUGCUUUGUAAGCUAUCCUCAGCUAGAAAAAGGUGAAGAACCAGCACUAUUUCAAGUAAAUGCAUUUUAAACAGAACUCUGAUAUUACUACUUGGCCCGUCUUUUUGACUUCAACUGUUGGUAGAUUUUUUUUUUUUCCUUUGGCCUGGUCCAUUUGGAUAGCACAGAACUUCAGGAAAUUAGUGAUGCUGCCUUUGAAAACCCUGCCUAUUUUACAGAGGAAAUACUUAAAACUCAAUGAUAUGAAACUAACUAGAUAUGUUUGAAAUAUUGAUUACAUAUAUCUUCUGGAAUAGGAUAAUGGGAUAUUCCUGGUUGCUAUAUGCAUGUUUAUACGUCCCUGAAAUGUUUGAUUAAUGUGCACCUAAUCUUUCUUUCCGCUAAUAGACCAUCAUAUUUCUUACUAAGAAAUGAAUUAUUUGACUACUGGUACAAGUGGCUGAGAGAAAGCCAUUUAUAAUGCUGCAUCUUCAGCUAAUGUUUCUUCUGCAACUAAACCUUGACCUGGAAAGCUCUUUCACUGAAAAUGACUAAUAUUGUCAAUUUUAAUUUUAGCUUUGAAUAUGUUUUUCUGAUGGCAGUCUAAUCUAUCCUAAAAUACUUUAUACUUCACAAUAUUAAUAAAACAUACAUAGAAAAUAAACAAAGGAAAACCCUCAUGAAGCAAAAUUUGAAUCCUGUUUAUGGAGAUGUUAUCCCAGAACUCUGAAUUUAUGCAAAAGCAGUAUAUUGGCAAAAAGAAAGAAAAUAUUUUAAAAGCAAAACAGAAUUGACUUAACCUCUCCUUUUCUUUGUUCACAAAAUAUAUUGUCAUUUUAGGCUGGUAUUGAUUUUGCUUUCCAUUUUUCUUUUAAGAUUAACUCACAUUUGAAUGUUUUUAUCAUUUUCUGUAUCACUUUUUUGAGCAAUGUUAUUUUUCAUAUUUCUGAAAAUUGCUUAGUUAAGAGAUUCGACAAAUAGCAGGUUGUAAUAACAACAGUUGCUCUCUGCUGGCCUUGUGUGUAUCAGCCCUAGUCUUAUCAUUUGUACACUAUAAGCAGCCCUUCUUCAUACAAUCAUUUUCAAAAUUGCUGUGCUAAACUUUAGGGAAUAGGGAUGUUCACCACAUUUGUACACUCAGUCAUGAGCUCAGACAAGAACGCUGAGCAUUAGGCAUGGCAAACAAACCAUGAAAACUUACAGUUGUCAGACUGGAUGACUUUUGCAGAAAAGCUGCAGAGGGUUAGUUUGUUCCUUGGCACCUUUUGUAAGAAAAAAUAAGCAUUUGCAUACACAUUUUCAAAAGCUUAAAAAGAUCAAUAGAAAAUAUAACCCAGUGUCACUGAUGCCCAAGCACUCUGAGCUAGGGUCACAGCCCUGAACAGAAGCCUUAGUAUCCAAAUUCUCUUAGUGUCCACAUUCUAAAUUCUCCUUCCAAUUAGCAACUAAAAAGUGGUAACUUGUAAUUUCUGUUGACUUUAAUAAACUGUACAGAUUUCAGCCUGCCCUGCAUCUGACAUCCAGAGUCUUUUAGAGACUAUCCAGUUGCCACUCAAAAGCAGGAGCAUUUUAAAAUGGGGGCCUUCGUUAAAAAACAGAGAACACCCACUGAAUCUGCUGAUCGGUAAAAUCCAGCCUGGCAGUUCAGCAUGACUUUAACUUUAGUCUGAGGAAGCCUGAGCCUAUUCUGUUGUAGAAUUUUCUGGAAACGGCAUUCACAAGAAGCAGUAAUGAGUUAUAUGGCAUCUGCUGACUUUGACAUGGAGCUUUUUUGAUCCAUCUUAUGGAUUUCAGUUCUCCCUAUUGUGUUAACACUGUGACUUUUGUAAACCAGAGGAGUGGAAUUUCAACUGGGACUCUACUCCUACCCUUGGCUCCAGGCUGUAGACCUUCCAAGAGCUAUUGGGAGGUUGAAUGGAAAUAAAGAUUACUACGACUAGAGGAAGCAAUGGAUGUGAUCAAUCCCUCAGUAAGAUAUGUACUGGGAGCCCUGUUAAAAUGAAAAUGGAGAGAAAGAAGAGUUUUCACAAACUGGCUGUGUAGAAAGAGCAACUACACAAAUUAUGCUCACCUGGAACAGAUGAGCUAAUAACCUCCUGCCCUCCCUUCCACUUCUUCCCCCACUGUUACUUGGGGAGGUGAGUAGGAAUUUCUGGUGGUAAAGAAAAGGGUUUGAUUUACUUUUUUGAACAUGUGAGUUUGUAAUUCAACAACCUGUUCCUGAGUUGAGGGAAAAACAUCUGUGCAUGCCGCUGGAGUAAGUACAUGUAUUAUGGACUAAUAUUGUCACUUUUCAAGAGUGCAAGUACUGUAAUUUGUUGUGCGUGUGCUUAUCAAAGCAAAGUUUAAGAAGUCUUCUAAUAAAUGAAAAGUUUUAUGGAGAUUUAUUUAUUUAUUCUUUUCAAAAGCUUUUGUUGAAACAGAAAAGUAUCUUUUUGAUGAGAAACAUCCACCUUCUUUCCCCUUAACAAACAUUGCCAUCUAAGCCUGUCUGGGAGCCUGGGGUGCAUCUAUGCUCUGUAUAUUGAGGUAUCUUGUUCAAUCUUGGGUAGAAUUUAUAAGGAGCCCCUGUAGGUCUGAGUAACUUCAGUGGAGCUGGUUGGUAAGCUAAUGUCCUGCUGUUGUUUGCAAAGGAAGGAGAUGUGAGCUUUGUUUACAGGGUAUGAUCUAAGAGAUGGUUUCUAGAGACUUCUUGACUUUUUCUAUCUUGAUAGAAGACUACAUCUUUUUACAAUAUCAGGAAAAAAAAGUUAGUUUUUUUUUUUUUUAUAAGAUAAGACUUAAACCUAAUAGUGAAUUUCUCAGUAUUUGUACCAAGCUCACUACUAAUAGAAAGGAGCAAACAAACAACAACAACAAAAAAACCCACCUAACCCGAGCAUUACAGACAAAGGGCACA